GGAGAAUUACUCAAGAGGCUGAAGAGGACGGUUUGCUAAAUCGUUAGGUCGGGUAACUGGCGCGAGGGUUUGAAUCCCUCAUUCUCCG
rnacentral:tRNA from 1 species